AAUAGAUACCCCGGUAGUCCACGCCGUAAACGAUAGAGUGCUAAGUGUUAGAGGGUUUCCGCCCUUUAGUGCUGCAGCUAACGCAUUAAGCACUCCGCCUGGGGAGUACGGUCGCAAGACUGAAACUCAAAGGAAUUGACGGGGGGCCCGCACAAGCGGUGGAGCAUGUGGUUUAAUUCGAAGCAACGCGAAGAACCUUACCAGGUCUUGACAUCCUCUGACAACUCUAGAGAUAGAGCGUUCCCCUUCGGGGGACAGAGUGACAGGUGGUGCAUGGUUGUCGUCAGCUCGUGUCGUGAGAUGUUGGGUUAAGUCCCGCAACGAGCGCAACCCUUGAUCUUAGUUGCCAGCAUUUAGUUGGGCACUCUAAGGUGACUGCCGGGUGACAAACCGGAGGAAGGUGGGGAUGACGUCAAAUCAUCAUCGCCCCUUAUGACCUGGGCUACACACGUGCUACGAUGGAUGGUACAAAGGGGCUGCAAGACCGCGAGGUCAAGCCAAUCCCAUAAACCAUUCUCAGUUCGGA
rnacentral:rRNA from 1 species